rnacentral:rRNA from 1 species
GAUUUUAUAAUUAAAGGGCUGCAGUAUAUUGACUGUACAAAGGUAGCAUAAUCAUUAGUCAUUUAAUUGAUGACUUGUAUGAAGGAUUGGAUGAAAUAUAAACUGUCUCUUAAUUAUUAAAUAGAAUUUAAUUUUUUAAUUAAAAAGUUAAAAUAUAUUAAAAAGACGAGAAGACCCUAUAGAUUUUUAUAAAAAAUUUAGUUAAUAUUAUUUAUGAAAAAUUAAAAUUAAAAUUAAAUUUAUUUAUUGUAUUGGGGUGAUAGAAAAAUAUAAAAAACUUUUUAUAUAUUAAAACAUUUAUAAGUGGUUAAAUGAUCCAAUAUUAUUGAUUAUAAGAAAAAAUUACCUUAGGGAUAACAGCGUAAUUUUUUUUUUUAGUUCGUAUAAGAAAAAGAGUUUGCGACCUCGAUGUUGGAUUAAGAUAAAAUUUAAAUGCAGAAG